rnacentral:rRNA from 1 species
ACGGGGGCCCGCACAAGCGGAGGAGCAUGUGGUUUAAUCGAUGAUACGCGAGGAACCUUACCUGGGCUCGAACGUAAGAUGACUGUAGGUGAAAGCUUACAUCUCUUCGGAGCAUUUUACGAGGUGCUGCAUGGUUGUCGUCAGCUCGUGCCGUGAGGUGUCGGGUUAAGUCCCAUAACGAGCGCAACCCUACCUUUAGUUGCCAUCAGGUAAUGCUGGGGACUCUAAAGGAACUGCCUACGCAAGUAGUGAGGAAGGCGGGGAUGACGUCAAAUCAGCACGGCCCUUACGUCCAGGGCUACACACGUGCUACAAUGGCCGAUACAGAGGGCAGCUACCUGGUGACAGGAUGCAAAUCUCCAAAGUCGGUCUCAGUUCGGAUCGGAGUCUGCAACCCGACUCCGUGAAGUUGGAUUCGCUAGUAAUCGCGCAUCAGCCAUGGCGCGGUGAAUACGUUCCCGGGCCUU